GGGUCAGUAGGUCGGUCGUGCCAACGGUAUGAACUGGUUUCACUGAUUCCUCCCUCUUGUAGAACCGUGAUGCCAUUAAUUUGGUGUUGCGGGAAAACAGGACUGUUACUUUGAAAAAUUAGAGUGUUUAAAGCAAGCUAACGCUUGAAUACAUUAGCAUGGAAUAAUGAAAUAGGACGUCGAUCUUAUUUUGUUGGUUUCUAGGGUUGACGUAAUGAUUAA
rnacentral:rRNA from 1 species